GAUGAACGCUGGCGGCAUGCCUAACACAUGCAAGUCGGACGGGAAGUGUUGUUUCUUGUGCCGGCUGGGUGAGCAACGCGCAAGAGCCUGCCCCUUGGAGGGGCUCCACUUCUGCAAACGGCUGCUAAUACCCCCUAGUCCUAGGACCAAAUGGAGGAUUCCGCCCGAGGUGGUGCUUGGGUCAGAUUAGCUAGUUGGUGAGGCAAUAGCUUACCCAGGCGAUGAUCAGUAUCUGGGCCGAGAGGAUAAACAGCAACACUGGGACGGAGACACGACGCAGGAACCUACGGGAAGGGGCAGAAGGGAAUAUGCGGAAAUGGGCGAGAGCGUAGCAGGGCAAUGGGGCGUGAAAGUAGGAGGGCAACGGAUCAAGAACGGCAGAUUGCAAAGCAGAAGAAGUGACGGUAACUGGGGAAAAAGCAACGGCUAACUACGUG
rnacentral:rRNA from 1 species